UACAGAGGUCUCAAGCGUUGUUCGGAUUCAUUGGGCGUAAAGAGCGUGUAGGCGGCCCGGUAAGUCCGCUGUAAAAGUCAAAGGCUCAACCUUUGAAUGUCAGUGGAUACUGCCGGGCUAGAGUCCGGAAGAGGCGAGUGGAACUCCUGGUGUAGCGGUGGAAUGCGCAGAUAUCAGGAAGAAUACCAACGGCGAAGGCAGCUCGCUGGGACGGUACUGACGCUGAGACGCGAAAGCGUGGGGAGCGAACAGG
rnacentral:rRNA from 1 species